rnacentral:rRNA from 1 species
GAUGAACGCUGGCGGCGUGCCUAAUACAUGCAAGUCGAGCGAAUGGAUUAAGAGCUUGCUCUUAUGAAGUUAGCGGCGGACGGGUGAGUAACACGUGGGUAACCUGCCCAUAAGACUGGGAUAACUCCGGGAAACCGGGGCUAAUACCGGAUAACAUUUUGAACCGCAUGGUUCGAAAUUGAAAGGCGGCUUCGGCUGUCACUUAUGGAUGGACCCGCGUCGCAUUAGCUAGUUGGUGAGGUAACGGCUCACCAAGGCAACGAUGCGUAGCCGACCGGAGAGGGUGAUCGGCCACGCUGGGACUAGGACACGGCCCAGACUCCUACGGGAGGCAGCAGUAGGGAAUCUUCCGCAAUGGACGAAAGUCUGGCGGAGCGACGCCGCGUGAGUGAUGAAGGCUUUCGGGUCGUAAAACUCUGUUGUUAGGGAAGAACAAGUGCUAGUUGAAUAAGCUGGCACCUUGACGGUACCUAACCAGAAAGCCACGGCUAACUACGUGCCAGCAGCCGCCGUAA